AUUGAACGCUGGCGGCAUGCCUUACACAUGCAAGUCGAACGGCAGCACGGGGGCAACCCUGGUGGCGAGUGGCGAACGGGUGAGUAAUAUAUCGGAACGUACCCUAGAGUGGGGGAUAACGUAGCGAAAGUUACGCUAAUACCGCAUACGAUCUACGGAUGAAAGUGGGGGCUCGCAAGACCUCAUGCUCGUGGAGCGGCCGAUAUCUGAUUAGCUAGUUGGUGAGGUAAAGGCUCACCAAGGCGACGAUCAGUAGCUGGUCUGAGAGGACGACCAGCCACACUGGGACUGAGACACGGCCCAGACUCCUACGGGAGGCAGCAGUGGGGAAUUUUGGACAAUGGGGGCAACCCUGAUCCAGCAAUGCCGCGUGAGUGAAGAAGGCCUUCGGGUUGUAAAGCUCUUUUGUCAGGGAAGAAACGGUGAAGGCUAA
rnacentral:rRNA from 1 species